rnacentral:rRNA from 1 species
UACGGGGGGGGCAAGCGUUGUUCGGAAUUACUGGGCGUAAAGGGCUCGUAGGCGGCCAACUAAGUCGGACGUGAAAUCCCCAGGCUCAACCUGGGAACUGCGUCCAAUACUGGAUGGCUUGAAUCCGGGAGAGGGAUGCAGAAUUCCAGGUGUAGCGGUGAAAUGCGUAGAUAUCUGGAGGAAUACCGGUGGCGAAGGCGGCAUCCUGGACCGGCAUUGACGCUGAGGAGCGAAAGCCAGGGGAGCAAACGGG